GACCGCCUGGCGCAAUGGUAGCGCGUUCGACUCCAGAUCGAAAGGUUGUGCGUUCGAUCCGCUCAGUGGUCA
rnacentral:tRNA from 1 species